rnacentral:rRNA from 1 species
CCUACGGGUGGCAGCAGUGGGGGAUAUUGCACAAUGGGGGGAACCCUGAUGCAGCGACGCCGCGUGAGCGAUGGAGUACUUCGGUAUGUAAAGCUCUGUCAGCAGGGAAGAAAAUGACGGUACCUGACCAAGAAUCCCCGGCUAAAUACGUGCCAGCAGCCGCGGUAAUACGGAGGGGGCAAGCGUUAUCCGGAUUUACUGGGGGGAAAGGGAGCGUAGGCGGCAGGGCAAGCCUGAGGUGAAAGCCCGGGGCUCAACCCCGGGACUGCAUUGGGAACUGCCCAGCUGGAGUGCCGGAGGGGCAGGCGGAAUUCCUGGUGUAGCGGUGAAAUGCGUAGAUAUUAGGAGGAACAUCAGUGGCGAAGGCGACCAGCUGGACGAUGACUGACGCUGAGGAGCGAAAGCGUGGGGAGCAAACAGGAUUAGAUACCCGGGUAGUC